rnacentral:lncRNA from 1 species
UAUUAAAGAGCUUAUAAAACAGUAUAUUUCUUUAAAAUAAAAUUCUUAAAUGUGUAAUCUCUAAAUUUGUAAUAGAAUAGAAUACAGAAUAAACUUUAUUUCCUUGUAUGGGAUAUUCAGCACACUUUGACACCAAAGGUGUUAUCAGCAACUCAUCUGAUGCUCUAACUAGAUUCAAAUGAACAGUAAACCUCUAAAAGGAACCCUUUGGUGAAUUUAUGCAAGAAGCAGAAGAAUGUUUACAAUUUCGUGUGUAAGAAUAUUUAUUUUUAUAUGUCCACAUCUGUAUUUACAUCUAUCAUCCAUCUAUAUUAUAACUAAGAAUGGCCCAGAAACUGUAUUAACUGCUUUAUUUGGAUUGUUUCAUUUAAUUCUGGCAGAAAUUAUUUGAGUGGGAAUUGGAACUCAGAUUCAACUUCAAAGUCCAGAUUCUUUACCAUUAUGUUUUUAGGUAUAACCCCACUUUUAAGCCUGUAAGCAAAUGAUGGCUUUUAAAUUCUCAGUAUGGCUUAACCUCUGGAAGAAAACCCGAAAGAUGCUGCAAAGAGAACUCUUUUUCAGUUUGGCUUUGGGAAAUAAAUGUAGAAUAAGUCUUUGUAUUAUAUUGAAAACAAGUGAAUUUAUGAAUGCAUGGCGUUAUGUUCUCAGUGCCAUUCCACUUUUGGUUGCAUUUUAUAUUCAUCUCAGGCUACCUGGAAUGGAAUAGGGGAUAAAAUCACAGUUUCCAAUUUCCUACACUGACCUAAAGAGGCAAUUUUGGGGUAUGCUUUAUAUUUUCUCACUUUACCACUUCUUAAAGUAUCUCUAAAAGUGAGCAGACCAUAUUUAUUUCUAGAUCUCUUCAUGUGGACAAACACGGGUGCUCUUAAAAAUGUAAAUCUCUAUUAAAUUAUUGUUUAAAAAUGUAGUUCAUAGUAACCUAAACAAAUGAUAAGCCAUUAAUUUGCUUUAAUUUCUUAACACUGUGAUUAUGAAUAUCGUUGUGGGAUCUAGAGAGAAGUGACUGAGGCACUUACCUCAGAUAUGAAACUUAAGGGAUUUCCAAAAAGCUCAUAUAUCAAGAUAAAGAAUAUUUUAAUACAGUACUGUAAAAAAUCAACAUUAAUACAAAAAUUCCAUGAUGAACAAAAUAUCAAAAUUUUAAAUAAAAGUAUAAACACAAUUUAUUGUAGCAAAUAGGCCCUCAGAAAAGAGUUUAUCUGAGUCAGUCCUUAGCUUCCAGGUGAAACUACACAUAAAAUUACUAUAUUUGUUUCAGCGUUUUCUUAAGCAUCCUAGUACAAAGAAUGAACAUUUUUAUUUUCAGCAGAACCAAGCAAUAUUGCAUAUGUCUUUGUCUGUUCAGGGCUGCUUAACAGAAUACCAUAGCUUGCAUAGCUUAUAAACAACAGACAUGUAUUUCUUACAAUCCUGAAGGCCGGGAAGUCCAAGAUCCAGGUGCCAGCAGAGUCCAUGUCAGAUGAGAGCCUGCUUCCUUGUUCAUGGCCCCUUGUCACUAUGUCCUAAUGUGGUAGAAGAGAACUCAGUUUCAUCUCUGUUUUUUAAAAUUUUUAAUUUUUUAUUAUAGUUGACUUACAAUGUUCUGUCAAUUUCUGCUGCACAGCAGUGUCCCAGCUAUACACAUACAUACAUUAUUUUUUUCACUUUAUCCUCCAUCAUGUUACACUGCAUGUGACUAGAUAUAGUUUCCUGUGCUAUACAACAGGACUUCUUUGCUUAUCCACUCUGAAUGCAAUAGUUUGCAUCUACUAACCCCAAACUCCCAGUCCAUCCCACUCUCUCCCCUUCCCCCCAACCAAAAGUCUAUUCUCCAUGUCAUUGAGUUUGUUUCUUUUCUGUAGAUAUGUUAAUUUGUGCCAUCUAUUAGAUUCCAGAUAUGUGAUGUCAUAUGGUAUUUUUCUUUCUCUUUCUGAUUUGCUUCACUUACUAUGAGAGUCUCUAGUCCCAUCCAUGUUGCUGCAAAUGGCUUUUUUUUUUUUUUUGGCUCUUUACGGUUGCACCUGUAGCACAUGGAAGUUCCCAGACUAGGGGUCAGAUCAGAGCUACAGCUGAUGGCCUAUGCCACAGCAAUGCAGGAUCUGCACUGCGUCUGCAACCUGUACCACAGUUCAUGGCAAUGCCAGAUCCCUGAUUCACGGAGCAAGGCCAGGGAUCAAACCCGCAUCCUCAUGGAUACUAGUCAGAUUCAUUUUUUUCUGCACCACAAGGGGAACUCCCUAUUUUGUUAUUUUUUUUUUUUAUGGCUGUGUAGUUUUCAAUUGUGUAUAUGUACCACAUCUUCUUAAUCCAUUCAUCUGUCAGUGGACAUUCUGGUUGUUUCUGUGUCUUGGCUAUUGUGAAUAGUGCUGCAUGUAUCUUUUUCAGGGAAAGUUUGGUACAGAUAUAUACCUGGGAGUGGGAUUACUAGAUCAUAUAGUAGUUCCAUAUUUAGUUUUCUGAGAUACCUCUAUACUGUUUUCCAUUAGAGAAAUGCAAAUCAAAACUACAAUGAGGUACCACCUCACACCUGUGGGAAUGGCCAUUAUUAACAAGUCAACAAAUAACAAAUGCUGGAGAGGGCAUGGAGAAAAAGGAACCCUCCUACACUGUUGGUGAGAAUGUAAAUAGGUACCACCACUAUGUUUCAUUUCUUUUAUAAAAGCACUUAAUCCCAUUCAUAAGGGUUCUACCCUGAGAACUAAACACCUCCCAAAUGCCCCGUUUUGCACUACCAACACAUUGGUAUUAGGUUUCAACAUAGGAAUUUUGAGGGGUAAAAAAUAUUCAGUUAUGGCAAUACUGUUCUUAAAAUAAAGAAAAUAAUUUAGUGCAAUUAAGCCAACUUUGUACAUGCAACUACUGUCAUUUUGUGGGUUUCAUGUCAAUCUUUUUCCAUAUAUAUUUAUGUUUCUGUAAUUAUGGUCAUUAUACCAUUCUUACUAGCAUUAUUAUAUCUUUAAAAAAUGAUAGCUUGGAUCAAAUAAGAAUUAUAUUUAGUGCUUUUUUUCUUCCAGUUUUAUUGAGAUAUAAUUAACAUACAGCAUUGUGUAAAUUUAAGGUGUACAGCAUAAUGAUUUGAGUUACAUACAUUAUGAAAUGAUUGC